CUCAGGGUUGAAGUGUGGUGCCCUCUGAGUUUGAAAGAAUGGCUCAUGUUGGUUCAGCGGCCCCAACCUUUUGGGCAUCAGGAUCCAGUUCCAUGGAAGCAGGUUUUUCCGUGGACUGGAGGGUGUGUGGUUUUCCAUGUUGCCUGCAUUCCACUGAUGGGGCUUCACUUGUUUGCGUGGAUUGGUUGCUGGCAUGCCACGGUCUGGUGCUGGUCAACGGCCCAGGAUUUGGGGGACUCCUGAUCUAAGUAACAUCAAUAUGACUUCCUUUUUAUUUUCUCUUUCAGCAUCUGCAUGGAAUUACUCUAUCCUGGUCUUUUCAGUUCUCGUUCUGCUCAUUGGUAUUGUGCUCCUGGGAGCAAAUGUUAGGGCCAACAGAAACCAGAAGGCCUUUCUCUUACGCAAAGAAGACUAUGAAGUCACCCCGCUAGAUGAGGCAGAAGCGAAGCAAGCGUUUGUGUUGCUAAACAAAGAGAAUCCGGAUCAAGCUGGAGACAAUUUGCUUUCCAAAACACUGACCAUGGGAGACGUGAUGGUAUGCUGGAAGAAUGGGAAAGCCUCACUCCUGUAUACUGAUGCCAGCGAAGCAGAAGCAUAGCACCUAAUGUCUAUAUUUUGGCUCUUUGGGAAACCUGGGAGGAUUUCUGGACUAUUGACAUUUUUGGAAUGCAGAUUUGAAAGCCAAAUUCAUUAAGUGGAAUCAAAAAGCCAGCAAGAAGGAAACACAUAGUGACUGCUUUUGAGUUUUACAAAAUCAAUAAUCCACCAAACAAUUCAUCUACCAGAUAUCUUUACAUGAUACGUUGAACUAGGUUGGCCUAGUGGCUUCCUUCACACAACAGGUUAAGCUUGGUCAGUUGGUUCAGGUGGUUCCUAUCAGUGUUAACCUUGAUCAAUUUUAUUUUGUGCCCUAAUGUAGUGUCACCAGAGCAUUCACAGGGUCAAACAAAGUUCUGGCAGGCCCCUCAAAGCAGCCAGAACUUCAAUUGCACAGUUGGGUUACCAUCUUGACUUGACCAUCUGUGAGGAGACCUCUGAUGUCAACCUAUCUCAAUGGGUUGAGUAGUGGGUGAACCCAGAAAAAGAGGCAAUUCAAGAACCAAUUAAGGAUGUUGUGUGAAGGUUGUUGCUUUGCUAUUUUGCACCAACCUACAAAAAAAAAAAUCUGUCAGAUUAUCCGGAAAGAUGUUUCAGGUCUCCUGAUUUUGAUUUUAUCACUGACCAUUGGUGAUUGCAUAUUAAAAAAAAAAGGUGGAAUUUGAUCAUUUGAUCAUCUGGAUCUUUCUGGAUCAUUUCUGUGGUGGUUCUGUUAUGCCAAUAUUAGCUGCCUUAUAGAAGGUAAUAAUUUGAGACAGUUGGGAGCAGAAGUGGGAUUCAAAUUUUUUAACAACUGGUUCUGUGGGUGUGGCUAGGUGGGCAUGGCAAGAUGGGCAUGGCCAUGUGACUAGGUAGGAGUGGCUUUUUUCCCAACAACUCCACCCCCUGGGUUUUUUGCCUCCUGGGCUUCAGGGAAGUCUCCUGGGCAAAGCAGUAAGACAGUGAGGGGGAUCCCGGCAUAGCUGAUCAUCAGAACAGCUGAUCAUCGGGGGGGAAGAGAAAUACCUUAAGGAGUGACNAGCUGAUCAUCAGAACAGCUGAUCAUUGGAGGGGAAGAGAAAUACCUUAAGGAGUGACUGGGUGGGGGAGAACGCAGUCAGUGAUGUUGGGCAUGUGUGUGAUGUCACACAUGUGCAAUAAAGACUGACUGGGAGGGGUGGGGCAGGUGGAAAGGGGCGUGGCCAGCCAGGGGUUCUCCAAACUGCACGGAAUCAUAACAACUGGUUCUAUAGAACCGGUCUGAACCGGUAGAAUCCCACCCCUGGUUGGGAGCCUCCAAAAUUGGAAACAAAGAAAAGGGAUGGGCAAAGGCUAGGCUAUGAUAAGGGCUUUGGAUGAUAUUCAAGCAGCACUGUGACUUCCAAGGAAACCAGGUUAAUAUUUCCACCAUCAGUCUAGUAAGCCAAGGUCCAUUAAAAGGCUUUUAAAGGCUGCUACAUCUCUAGAUCUAUCUUUGUGUAAUAUCAUGCCAAUCUUUCUG
ensembl:lncRNA